rnacentral:tRNA from 27 species
GGAAGGUUAGCUCAGUGGUAGAGCACUGCAUUCACACUGCAGGGGUCGCAAGUUCAAACCUUGCACUUUCCACCA